GCCCCCAAAAUAGCUGCUUCUAAAGAGGCUGAGAAGAAAAUGGCUUCUGUAUUUAAACCCAAAAAAGGUGCACUUUGUAACGCAAUUUAAAUUUAUAAGGUCCGGAAAUACGUCAAAUCAAAGGAAGUUAUGAAGAGGAUUUUAUAUCUGGGGAAUACAGUGAAUCAAGGAACUGCUGGAGGUUUUGAUGAAGAAAUGAAGAAAGAUGGAAGAAACAUGGAUCGGGAUUGAAGAAAUUAAGAACAUGGAGAAAGCAGAGACAAUGCACACCAUAUUGUGCCUGAAUACAGUUAGCAUGUUCCUAAAAUUUCAUAUCUUGCUCGUCAAGUUAAAAGACCAGUCCACCAAUGCACCAUCGGGACAUGGGUACGACCCGUACCUUAAGAGUAUGGCUUGUACUGAGGUUGCCUAACUUCGUCUAUUUAAGCACGGUGACGGCCAAACUUGGGAGGAGCGCAAUUUGGAGGUUGAGAAAGACGUUUGGGAGUAGAGAAGAAGAUCCAGAGGUCUAGAGACUUGGAGAUUGAAGAUCCAACCAUUCGGUUUGCAUUAACCGCGUACGACGUGGUUAACUUUCAUUUUCAGUUUCUAUAUCAUCCAUGUAUUCAUCCAGAUCCGUGUUUGAUUUGUUUUACAUUACUAUGCUAGGCAAAACUUAAUUAGCCAUUUACAUUACUAUGCUAGGCUAAACUUCUUUAGCCAUUUAGGGUAGGGUGAUUCUUGUUUUAGUUGGACUUAAACAUUGGUUUUUGUUUAUGAUUAUGUGAUUUUAGUAAAGUUGGUUAUUUUGAUCUGAUGAUGUGUAUGAUUGCCUGUUAUUGUUGGUUUUAGAUCUUAUUUGUGUGGUAUUGUUGAUCUUUCUAUGAAGUUAUUCAUGUUAGAUUCAACAUGCAUCAUCUUUAGGUUAUAAAGGGGCACUUAUAAUUAUCUGAGUCUUGACACCUUAAUCGGUGAAGACAAAUCGGUAACAUAAUUGGUAAAACUUGUGAGUUAUUCAUGUGAAGGAUCAGGAAGCUAAUUAUGGUUUUCUACUUGUUGAUCUUGUACAAAUUGUAAUAUGCGAGACGUUGAUACAAAAGAACCCAACUUAGAAAUCCUAAAUCAUAAGUGAUAAUAACUAAGACUUGCUUUAUAGAUUAAGGUUUUAGUGUAUGUCUAUAAUACUGAUUCUAUGUUUGUGGGAUUUAACCUUAACGGGCUCUAAUCCAUACUAGCACUUCACACAUUGUUUUGAUCUUCAUUAUAAAUCUUUAAACACUUUUCAUAAGUAGAACCAAUUAAA
rnacentral:lncRNA from 1 species